rnacentral:rRNA from 1 species
CAGAGAGAAGCGAUACCGCGAGGAGGAGCAAAUCUGAAAAAAGACGUCCCUAGUUCGGAUUGUAGGCUGAAACUCGCCUACAUGAAGCUGGAAUUGCUAGUAAUCGCGCAUCAGCCACGGCGCGGUGAAUACGUUCCCGGGCCUUGUACACACCGCCCGUCAAGCCAUGGGAGCCGGGGGUACCUGAAGUGCGUAACCGCGAGGAGCGCCCUAGGGUAAAACUGGUGACUGGGGCUAAGUCGUAACAAGGUACC